AUAUCAAUAAGCGGAGGAAAAGAAACCAACCGGGAUUACCUCAGUAACGGCGAGUGAAGCGGUAACAGCUCAAAUUUGAAAUCUGGCUUCGGCCCGAGUUGUAAUUUGUAGAAGAUGCUUCGGGUGUAGCUCCGGUCUAAGUUCCUUGGAACAGGACGUCAUAGAGGGUGAGAAUCCCGUAUGUGACUGGGUGCUUUCGCCUAUGUGAAGCUCUUUCGACGAGUCGAGUUGUUUGGGAAUGCAGCUCAAAAUGGGUGGUAUAUUUCAUCUAAAGCUAAAUAUUGGCCAGAGACCGAUAGCGCACAAGUAGAGUGAUCGAAAGAUGAAAAGCACUUUGGAAAGAGAGUUAAACAGUAC
rnacentral:rRNA from 1 species